rnacentral:rRNA from 1 species
GACGAACGCUGGCGGCGUGCUUAACACAUGCAAGUCGAACGUGAUUUUUGUGGAAAUUCUUUCGGGAAUGGAAAUGAAAUGAAAGUGGCGAACGGGUGAGUAACACGUGAGCAACCUACCUUACACAGGGGGAUAGCCGUUGGAAACGACGAUUAAUACCGCAUGAGACCACAGAAUCGCAUGAUAUAGGGGUCAAAGAUUUAUCGGUGUAAGAAGGGCUCGCGUCUGAUUAGCUAGUUGGAAGGGUAAAGGCCUACCAAGGCGACGAUCAGUAGCCGUUCUGAGAGGAUGAACGGCCACAUUGGAAAUGAGACACGGUCCAAACUCCUACGGGAGGCAGCAGUGGGGAAUAUUGCACAAUGGGGGGAACACUGAUGCAGCGACGCCGCGUGAGAGAAGAAGGUUUUCGAAUCGUAAAGCUCUGUCAUAUGAGAAGAUAAUGACGGUAUCAUAGGAGGAAGCCCCGGCUAAAUACGUG